rnacentral:rRNA from 1 species
AAAUUGAAGAGUUUGAUCAUGGCUCAGAUUGAACGCUGGCGGCAGGCCUAACACAUGCAAGUCGAACGGUAACAGGAAUCAGCUUGCUGAUUCGCUGACGAGUGGCGGACGGGUGAGUAAUGUCUGGGAAACUGCCUGAUGGAGGGGGAUAACUACUGGAAACGGUAGCUAAUA